CCCCCGCCUCGGGCCCGAGCGGCCCCGUGGAAAAAAAAAAAGCCAUAAAUCCCGCCCCGCCCGGCAGGAAUUCCUCAGCAGCGUCACCCAGCAAUGCCCCUUUUGUCCGCCCGGUCCGGCCCCGCCAAAGCCCUGCGCGAGCUUCUCGUCCUCGCUUGGCAUUAACUUUCGACAACAGCCAGCAGAGUGUGCUAUGAACGCUGAGAAAAGAACAUCCUGCUUCUGGGAAAUUUUUAUAUAUAUAUCUCCAUAUAUAUAUACACAUAUAUAUAUAUACAUACGUACAGAAAUGCAGAUGAAGACAUUUUAAGUGGUUCUAAUAUGUGCAUGAGUGGUAGAUAGCUCCUCCCGUCAAUUAAAAUACUUCUCUUGUCGCAGAUCACAGAACCUCUUCCUUAAAAAUUAAUAACCAAGUCAUACUAAACCGUCUGCUUUCAGCGAGAUUGCUUUCCAGUGUUUGUAUAAAGUUGGAAAAGUGCCACAGUGGAGAUGUCCAAAUACGUUUCACAGUCAGAGAGAAUGAUCUAGAACACAAGGGGCAGUCUGACAGCGCAAUCAAAGCAGAAUAUUCUCCCCAGCUCUACUUCUGACCAGAAUGAAUCAAAUACAAUACUGCUAAUUUUCAUGGCCGAGAGAAGAUGUGCAUUAUUUCAUAGCCACAGAGACCAUCAUCAGUGAGGAGCUGAGCGCAAGGAGGCAGCUGAGCAGUGCUUCAUUCAUUCCCGUGGAGGAAACGGUGAGCGGCAAGACAAGAAUGUUUGCUGACUGUGCAAAACCUUUUAAGUUAGCAGGGGGUGAGGGUCAUCCGUAAAGAAUUGUGGGUGAUUAGGCAGUAAAAGAGUAGAUUAAU